AGUAUCGCGUGGGUAAUCUACCUUGUAGUUGGGGAUAAUACUGCGAAAGUGGUGCUAAUACCGAAUGUGGUUUAGCGGUCUUCGGACUGCUUAACUAAAGGUGGCGUAAGCUGCCGCUAUAAGAUGAGCCUGCGUCCUAUUAGCUUGUUGGUGGGGUAAUGGCCUACCAAGGCGAUGAUGGGUAGCCGACCUGAGAGGGUGACCGGCCACAUUGGGACUGAGAUGCGGCCCAG
rnacentral:rRNA from 1 species